CACCAGGUCCCUCCUUGAACAGGUGGGGAUUGCAAUUUGAGAUGAAAUUUGGUAGGGACACAGAGCCUAACUAUAUUACUGAGAUAGGGCAAAAGUUAGGUCUUUGUGUCAAACAACCAACUUGUGAAUUCAAAGGAAAAGUUAUUGAGAGAAAUUUAAAGUGCUACUCCAGUGAACACAUGAUAUAGAAGUGAGUGAGACAGCCUUAUUGCUGAUAUGGAAAAAGUUUGAGUGAUCUGGAUAGAAAAUCAAACCAAACACAACAUUCUCUUAAUCCAAAGCCUAAUCCACAGCAAGGCCCUAACUCUCUUCAAUUAUAUGAAGGCUAAGAGAGGCAAGGAAACUUCAG